rnacentral:rRNA from 1 species
UACAGAGGUCCCAAGCGUUGUUCGGAUUCACUGGGCGUAAAGGGUGCGUAGGUGGUGAGGUAAGUCGGAUGUGAAAUCUCCGAGCUCAACUCGGAAACUGCAUUGGAAACUACCUUGCUCGAGGGUUGGAGGGGGACUGGAAUGCUUGGUGUAGCAGUGAAAUGCGUAGAUAUCAAGCGGAACACCAGUGGCGAAGGCGAGUCCCUGGACAACUCCUGACACUGAUGCACGAAAGCUAGGGAGCAAACAGG